GGUGCGGUUUUUGCCAUCUGGGAACUACUUUCCUUCGUCUCCAUUUUCACGGAUUAGCAGAGCUGGAGACCUGACACAGGCUUCCUAAUGAAAGAUAAAAGUGGAUGUUUACAAUAGUGUAGGACGGGGCCUGCGAGCAACUGGGCUUUCCCGCAGGUACUACCAUAAGGAACGCUUGUCAACUGGUUUUGUUUAAAAAAAAAUGUUGACUCCUUGAAUUGGGUCUAGAAGACACCUAGAGUGUCCAGUGGCUGUGCUACAACUUGUAGUCAAGUUGGAUUCCUGGAGCAACGAAAUGGAGGACACCAUCAGCUUAGAGAAAAAGAAAGAAAGUGACUGGCACCCUAGGUUGACAGGAGACAGUGAUUUUCAAAUUCCCUGAGCGUGACAACUUCCUGCCAUCUUUCCCAUCGGCUGCUACUCCAGAGAGGUGUUCUACAUUCCUGGCACUGCCAAAUCCUGGGGUUUCUGUUGCUCACAGUUUCAUGCAGUACCCUACUAUGGGUUUCCUGUAAGACUCUACCACAUACUUCCUGGAGUCCCAGACCUUGCUUUGAUGUGUUUCUCGAACCCACAUCUCUGAAAGACUCCUGAACUGCAUCGUCAGGUUUAGUCGUAGCGAUGAUCCUACUUCUUGACACCAACUUUCAUCUCAGUCAGUUUCCAUGCCAUGACAGAACACCUGGAAAUACGGCACAAGGGAGGUGGGAUUUAUUUUGACUUAUGGUUUCGGUCUGAUCACUUGACUCCAUUGUUUCUCUGGUCCUUGUAAUUGAUGAGCAGCGAGCAUGUGGUGGAGCAAAGUCUUCUCAUAGCAGGCAGGAGGCAGUGAGACCAAGAGAAGGCUCAGGAGACAAGAUAGCUAUUCCCAUCUAAGGAAUGCGCCCCCAGUGAUCCACUUUCUUCAACUCAGCCUCACUCCUAAGAGUACCAAAGAAGUCACAUUAGGGCCCAUGGUCCAGCUUUCUGCCAGAUGCUCCACUAGAUGGAAUUCAAUGUAUGAAUCUCAUUUUGGAGAGUGUACUUUUCCUUUGCCAGUCAUACUAGGUACUUUCCUGAGUGGUCCUUUUCGUGCAAAGGAAUUGCUUAACUUGUGCUUUUAUUCUGAAAAUGGAUCCUGUGCCAGAUCCACCCCUGGUUGCCCAUUGAAUUUGCACAAAGGAAUGCCAUGCUGGGAAUUUGUGUCUGUAAGUGGUUGUCUGAGUUCUGUGACUUGAAGUCCCAUGGCCUUGGCUGUUGAACUCUGCAGAAAUGAUCAUCCCUUAGCUCAGAUGAACUUUGUGACUCUGUUGCCACAUAAAUCUUUGAGGGAACCAUGUCUUGGUUUUACAUGUUUUGGUUGUUGUUGUUCUAUCCCUUCUACAUGUCUUUUUUGUUUGUGACCCAGUGAGUUUAAUUAGGAUUGCUUAUGGGAGUUUGGGUGAGGUGUUAUUUACAGGAACAUGGGCAACUGACUAAUGGCAAUACUACUGAAGAAAAUGUCUCUCCUUCUCCCAUUAGCCAUUAACUGCCUAUAAACCCUCAAGAAGGGGUGGAGCCUUGUUAAUUCCUUCUCUCUCCACGCUGAAGUGCUAAUGGGCCCAAUCCUGUGUCAAUAAUCACAGCUACCUUGUAUUCAUGAAUGCAAUUGCCCUUUCUUCAGUGUUCCCUGAGCCCUGAGGGAAAUGACAUAGAUGUCACAUUUAGAGUUGAACAUUCAACACUCACUUAUUCUCAGCACUUUGACCUCUUGAGUCUCUGCAGCAACCACCUCCCACUGAACAAAGCUGAUGAUGCAUUUAAUCUAUGGGCGUAACCAUAAAUAUAGGCGGCAGCUUGACAGGCGCAUGUUGUUCAUCUGUCAAAACAACAGUGGCUGUAGUAGUAGCAUGCUGACGAAUUAGGUCAGCACGAUAAAUAACCAGACCAGCUCAAGAACAACAGUUACAUUUUUUUAAUAGUUGAAAAGGGAAAACUCACACUACAAGAGUGGGAGGUUCAAAAUCCAAUAGGUCCAGAGAGCACCACACAGAGGGAGCAGUGCGCCUGAAUCUACCAGUAUUUCUACUUGGACCCCAGGUAGCCACACCCUAAUUAGAUGUGAUUGGUUGAUAGUUUCCUCAUCAUCUCACCCUUUUGUCUAAACAAGACCGAGCCAAACCCAAUAUAACUCUAUACAAUAGGAACAGAUACCAAAUAUAAAAUUACAAGCAAUAAACAAUAUUAACUAAGGAACGCAUAACAACAAAAGUUUUACUAAGCAU